GAGGGUAUAGCUCAGCGGUAGAGCACAUGCUUAGCAUGCAUGAGGUUGUGGGUUCAAUCCCCAGUACCUCUG
rnacentral:tRNA from 1 species